CCUGAUUUUGACAGAUUUAUGCCUACAAUAACCACUUGGACUGGAAGUUACAGAAGCAUGAGGGCAUGGGUACCGAAGCAUCAAUCUAUGCAAUUACAGAAUACAACUCAGAAUCAACAUUAUUAAUGGCCUUCC